ACGAGUUUGAUCCUGGCUCAGGACGAACGCUGGCGGCGUGCUUAACACAUGCAAGUCGAACGGUGACGGAGGAGCUUGCUCCUCCUGAUCAGUGGCGAACGGGUGAGUAACACGUGAGUAACCUGCCCCAGACUCUGGAAUAACAGUUGGAAACAGCUGCUAAUACCGGAUACGAGACGGAGAGGCAUCUCUACCGUCUGGAAAGUUUUUCGGUCUGGGAUGGACUCGCGGCCUAUCAGCUUGUUGGUGAGGUAAUGGCUCACCAAGGCGACGACGGGUAGCCGGCCUGAGAGGGCGACCGGCCACACUGGGACUGAGACACGGCCCAGACUCCUACGGGAGGCAGCAGUGGGGAAUAUUGCACAAUGGGCGAAAGCCUGAUGCAGCAACGCCGCGUGAGGGAUGACGGCCUUCGGGUUGUAAACCUCUUUCAGUAGGGAAGAAGCGCAAGUGACGGUACCUACAGAAGAAGCACCGGCUAACUACGUG
rnacentral:rRNA from 1 species